rnacentral:lncRNA from 1 species
CUCUUUGAACAAGUCUUGUUGAACAAGUCUUGUUAAAACGGGGGUUCUUCCAGUAGGCUGGCGCUGCUGAAGAUAUUAUCAAAUGUGGGUGGAACAGAGUCUUUCUGUUGUAGAAUACCUUAGCAUAUAUCAAGUCAAGCUUGCGCCAGUGUGUUUACGAGGAGUUUACAUGAACCCGAUCAGAUGUCCAGACACAGACUCUAAGGUUGCGGUAUU